AUUGAACGCUGUCGGCAGGCCUAACACAUGCAAGUCGAACGAGUGGCGGACGGGUGAGUAAUGUCUGGGAACCUGCCCGAUGGAGGGUGAUAACUACUGGACACGGUAGCUAAUACCGCAUACCAUCGGAUGUGCCCAGAUGGGAUUAGCUAGUAGGUGGGGUAACGGCUCACCUAGGCGACGAUCCCUAGCUGGUCUGAGAGGAUGACCGGCCACACUGGAACUGAGACACGGUCCAGACUCCUACGGGAGGCAGCAGUGGGGAAUAUUGGACAAUGGGCGCAAGCAUGAUGCAGCCAUGCCGCGUGUAUGAAGAAGGCCUUCGGGUUGUAAAGUACUUGCAGCGAGGAGGCGUUACUCGCAGAAGAAGCACCGGCUAACUCCGUGCCAGCAGCCGCGGUAAUUC
rnacentral:rRNA from 1 species